UACAGAGGGGGCAAGCGUUAUUCGGAAUUAUUGGGCGUAAAGGGCGCGUAGGCGGUUCUUCAAGUCUCUCGUGAAAUCCCUCGGCUUAACUGAGGACGUGCGGGAGAUACUGAAGGGCUUGAGUCCGGAAGAGGGUGGUGGAAUUCCCAGUGUAGCGGUGAAAUGCGUAGAUAUUGGGAGGAACACCAGUGGCGAAGGCGGCUUCCUGGCCUGUUCUUGACGCUGAGGCGCGAAAGCUAGGGGAGCAAACGGG
rnacentral:rRNA from 1 species